AUUGAACGCUGGCGGCAGGCCUAACACAUGCAAGUCGCACGAGUGGCGGACGGGUGAGUAAUGUCUGGGAAACUGCCUGAUGGGGGGGGAUAACUACUGGAAACGGUAGCUAAUACCGCAUACCAUCGGAUGUGCCCAGAUGGGAUUAGCUAGUAGGUGGGGGAAAGGCUCACCUAGGCGACGAUCCCUAGCUGGUCUGAGAGGAUGACCGGAAACACUGGAACUGAGACACGGUCCAGACGCCUACGGGAGGCAGCAGUGGGGAAGAGUGCACAAUGGGCGAAAGCCUGAUGCAGCCAUGCCGCGUGUAUGAAGAAGGCCUUCGGGUUGUAAAGUACUUUCAGCGGGGAGGCGUUACCCGAAGAAGAAGCACCGGCUAACUCCGUGCCAGCCGCCGCGGUAAUAC
rnacentral:rRNA from 1 species